UAUAGAUUUGAAACACCGGUUCUCGUACGAUCGCCUAAGUUAUGAAACGUCGAGGCUGGUCAGUACCUCGAUAGGUGCCCGCUUGGCAAUACCAGGUGCUGUAAG